AAAUCAUAAAAGUUUUAUUAGAAAUAAUCAAGUUUAAAUUUAACAAGUUAAUUAUAGUGAGACAGCAAUUGCACUCCAAUAUGUACCUUGUCAAUAUGUUCAUGUGCAAAAAGUCGAAUUUAAAAUAAUUAGCGGACGUUACAUUGCGAAUAUUUUAUAAUAAAAUUGAACGAGCACAAAAAAUAUUACAUCAUUCCAAUCGUCGAAAUCAUGAUUUUGGGUCAAAUAGUAUUUUUCAUGGUUUUGGCAACCAGCCAAGCCGCACCCCCUGCAAAAUGCGACCCAGCAAAUGGAGCCGUUUUGCCGAAUACACCUCAAAUCGCAUCGGCAAUAAAAUCUUGUCUAAAUUCUACAAAAUUUACAUUUCCAGAAAUAAAAAGUGAAUCUGACCUGAGUAAGUUUUUCAUUGAUUUUGAAGCGACAAAGUUUGACGACAAAUGUUUCGCUAAAUGUGUUGGGGACGAGUUGAAAUUGAUAACAUCGGAUCAAAAAUUAAAUCGUCAGGAAUUUUUAAAAUUACUGAAAUUUUCGAUUGAAAAAAUUGAUAAAGUGAUUGAGUGUUAUGACUGCAUGUGCGGAUGAGGGAGAUAAAACUAACGAAAAUGUGUGCAUAAAAGCAGCAAAAUUUCAGAUUUGUUUUGCCAAAGGAUUAUUGGAUAAGAAAGAUGAGACUUUAAAAUGUUAAUGUGAUAACCAAACACGUCAAAAUAAAUGGGAAUGUCGACACACCGCAACAAUUUAAUCACUUUCUUUUUGGCCAUAAAUUGACAAUACACUAUUUUAAUUGCUGUAUUAAAUAAUUAAAUUAAUACAUUGCAGGAUUAAUUAUUUU